GACGAACGCUGGCGGCGUGCCUAAUACAUGCAAGUAGAACGCUGAAGGAGGAGCUUGCUUCUCCGGAUGAGUUGCGAACGGGUGAGUAACGCGUAGGUAACCUGCCUGGUAGCGGGGGAUAACUAUUGGAAACGAUAGCUAAUACCGCAUAACAGUAGAUAUUGCAUGAUAUCUGCUUGAAAGGUGCAAUUGCAUCACUACCAGAUGGACCUGCGUUGUAUUAGCUAGUUGGUGGGGUAACGGCUCACCAAGGCGACGAUACAUAGCCGACCUGAGAGGGGGAUCGGCCACACUGGGACUGAGACACGGCCCAGACUCCUACGGGAGGCAGCAGUAGGGAAUCUUCGGCAAUGGACGGAAGUCUGACCGAGCAACGCCGCGUGAGUGAAGAAGGUUUUCGGAUCGUAAAGCUCUGUUGUAAGAGAAGAACGAGUGUGAGAGUGGAAAGUUCACACUGUGACGGUAUCUUAACAGAAAGGGACGGCUAACUACGUG
rnacentral:rRNA from 1 species